rnacentral:rRNA from 1 species
CUUGGUCAUUUAGAGGAAGUAAAAGUCGUAACAAGGUUUCCGUAGGUGAACCUGCGGAAGGAUCAUUACAAAAAAAACAGAUUUUAUCAAAGAUGGGAAACCAUUUGAUAAGAUCCAUUUAUUUUUCAAACCUGUGUUGAUCAUAUUGGUUGCUCUGGUUGGUUAAAGAUCUAGUUUCUUUUGGAGACAAGUUCUUAAGCCUUCACCAGAUGACUUUUCAAAACUCCCAUGUCAUAUUGUCUGAGGUACAUGUUGAUGAAAUUACACCGGAAGAAACUCUCUUGCGCUGUAUUUUAUCAAUGUGGUGCACACCGCACCAAUUAUUAAAACUUUCAACAAUGGAUCUCUUGGUUCUGGCAUCGAUGAAGAACGCAGCGAAAUGCGAUAAGUAAUGUGAAUUGCGGAAAAUUGUGAAUCAUCGAAUCUUUGAACGCACAUUGCGCUCCCUGGUAUUCCGGGGAGCAUGCCUGUUUGAGCGUCAUAUCUCCCUUCAAGCGUAGCUUGGUGUUGGGCCUUGCAUCCGAAAGGGUGGGCUUCAAAGAUAGUGGCGGGAAUGUAAUGCCCCCAGCCGUAGUAGUGACUUUCUUGGCUGGGUGGUCAUACAAAUCUCCGACAAAAUGCCGUGCAGCAGCUCUGCAUCAAUAGUUUGACCUCAAAUCAGGUAGGGAUACCCGCUGAACUUAAGCAUAUCAAUAAGCGGAGGAA